rnacentral:lncRNA from 1 species
UCUACUCAUAUCAAAAUAUAUAUUUCUUGUUUUAAUACUUAAUAUGGGCAUUACAUUCAAUUAUUAACCAAAAAUUAGCCGACAUCUAGCAUAUCGGACCUAGUCCAAGCCGAAUUAUUAUUGAUCAUUAGUAGAGUCUCCUGCUCUUUCUAUGAUGAUCUUUCCAUGUGGGAGGAAUUAUUUUUGUAAAUAAGAAAAAAAAUUUAUGUUAUUUACAACAAUAUUUAUUUAAUAUAAAUUUAUUUUUACUGUUAUUUUUAUUUUCUAACUGUUGACGAUUAAUCACGCCGUAAAAAAUUUAAUGGUGGUCUUUCACUUAUUUGUGUUAAUUUAUUUUGUUUUCAUUUAUUUUAUUUGAAAAUUUAAGUGUUGGGGUUUUAUCCAUAACCCAUGGGUAAACCAUACCCAAACCAUAAUGAAAUGGUUUUCUACAUAAAACUCACAUCUAACCCAUUUUAAUGAUUUACCCAACCCAAACCAUUUAAUUUGGUUUGAGUUUCGAUAAACCCAUGGGUUGUGGGUUUAUGCCCACCCCUAACUUAAACCCAUAAACGACCUUGUUUUUCUCUGCUUGCACUAGGAGAUUAGAAAAUGCUUCUUUCUCAUUGAGACCAUACUAGAGCCGAUUAAGAAUUCGAAUUAAAAUCUAAGGAUUCGACUACUAGCUUAGGUCACCUAGUAUUUUAUAUAAUGUUGAGACACAAAAAUACAAGCUAGAUCGCACAAGAGAGGCACAGGCAAAGACUAGCAGCAGUGUCGUCUAAAGCUUUCUACAGUUGGUUCUAUUCAUUCUAUUGCUCUCUAUUUAAGCAUAUAUUGUUAAUUUUCUUAUAUCGAAGUUAAGGAUGAAACUCAUUCAAUGAAAUAAUUAUCUUUUUGUUUAAUUAAUUUCUUACAUAUCGAAGUUAGAUCGCACAAGAGAGGCACGGGCAAAGAAUAGCAACAGUGCCGUCUAAAGCUUUCUACAGCUGGUUCUAUUAAUUCUAUUGCUCUCUAUUUAAGUAUAUAUAGUUAAUUUUCUUAUAUCGAAGUUAAGGAUGAAACCCA